GCUAUGUAGCCUCGAUUCAAGGCCGAUUAAAAUACGGCCUGGUACCUAUUGCAGGGGUGAUAGUGCGCAUGCGCUUCAAAUUACCCAGAAUAUGGGUAAUCGUACUACGAACGUAAAACCUUAGUAAAUUACACAGGAAAUUAGUCCGUUUACUAAAAAUAUGUUCCGUAAUACUUUAUCUCUAUGACUGAGUUCUGUAAAGCUGUGGCUUAUGCCGUCUAUUGCGUUGGUCUAGAAGGCUUGAACACUAGUUUUAAGACAGAAGAGGCUCUCAUCUACGUCUAGGAUGGUCCUAUAGCCGGGUUGUCUUCGCAAGUAGCAGUUUGAGGCACCAUGCACUUCCCAUAGCCUGUACAGAUCCAAGGUAAGACAUCCUGACCAUACAACCGUCAUAGAGGUAGAUGAGAGCCUCUUCUGGCUUCAGACUAGUGUGAAAGCCUUCUGGAACAACGCAAUAGAGAGCUAAGCUGAUGUACAAAGAUAGAAAAGAGAUGAGAGAAAGAAAAAGGGGAUUCCCCAGAUUCUGGAGAAUAAACUAACGCAUGCGCACUAUCACCCCUGCAAUAGGUACCAGGCCGUAUUUUAAUCGGCCUGGAAUCGAGGCUAGUUGCUAUGCAUCCAGCUAUAUAAGCUUGCAUGGAUACCACAUAGCAACACUAUUCAAACAAGAAGACAACUAGGAAAAAGAGAGCUCGUCCACACCAGGGCUCCUGUCCACACUCAAAGCCUUGCGACAGAAUAAUAUUAUGAGCAGCCAGCCCCUCCCUCCAAGCGACCGGUACAGCUCUGUGCAAUUAGUCAGCCCCUCCCUCCAUCUAGUGCUGCAGCACUGAACCAGCCAGAAAAAACAACACAGCUAGCUCUCUUUGGCUAUGCCAGGCUAGUAAGCAAGCAAAGAAGCUGAACAGGCCUAGUGCAGUGCGUGCAGUACUAGUGCUAGUGAGCAAGUCUGCCUGAGCCAGCUAGUCUCCCAGAGUCUCUCUAAAGCAGCUCCUUCUGCAAGCACACAGCAGAAUUUUUGAUGAACUAGUCUUACAGACUACACCCGACUCUAUGUGUUUUAUUUAUGAUAUUUUGUUUCUCUUGCAAGACAUUUCAUUCAUCUUCAUUCAUCGAAAACACCAUUAUUUUAAUUUUAGUUGCAUAUGCUUGAGGUGCCAAUUUAUGAGCCAUAUUUUCCCUUGUA